GGGACACGUGGUAUCCUGUCUGAAUAUGGGGGGACCAUCCUCCAAGGCUAAAUACUCCUGACUGACCGAUAGUGAACCAGUACCGUGAGGGAAAGGCGAAAAGAACCCCGGCGAGGGGAGUGAAAAAGAACCUGAAACCGUGUACGUACAAGCAGUGGGAGCCUCUUAAUGGGGUGACUGCGUACCUUUUGUAUAAUGGGUCAGCGACUUAUAUUCUGUAGCAAGGUUAACCGAAUAGGGGAGCCGAAGGGAAACCGAGUCUUAACUGGGCGUUAAGUUGCAGGGUAUAGACCCGAAACCCGGUGAUCUAGCCAUGGGCAGGUUGAAGGUUGGGUAACACUAACUGGAGGACCGAACCGACUAAUGUUGAAAAAUUAGCGGAUGACUUGUGGCUGGGGGUGAAAGGCCAAUCAAACCGGGAGAUAGCUGGUUCUCCCCGAAAGCUAUUUAGGUAGCGCCUCGUGAAUUCAUCUCCGGGGGUAGAGCACUGUUUCGGCAAGGGGGUCAUCCCGACUUACCAACCCGAUGCAAACUGCGAAUACCGGAGAAUGUUAUCACGGGAGACACACGGCGGGUGCUAACGUCCGUCGUGAAGAGGGAAACAACCCAGACCGCCAGCUAAGGUCCCAAAGUCAUGGUUAAGUGGGAAACGAUGUGGGAAGGCCCAGACAGCCAGGAUGUUGGCUUAGAAGCAGCCAUCAUUUAAAGAAAGCGUAAUAGCUCACUGGUCGAGUCGGCCUGCGCGGAAGAUGUAACGGGGCUAAACCAUGCACCGAAGCUGCGGCAGCGACACUAUGUGUUGUUGGGUAGGGGAGCGUUCUGUAAGCCUGUGAAGGUGGCCUGUGAGGGUUGCUGGAGGUAUCAGAAGUGCGAAUGCUGACAUAAGUAACGAUAAAGCGGGUGAAAAGCCCGCUCGCCGGAAGACCAAGGGUUCCUGUCCAACGUUAAUCGGGGCAGGGUGAGUCG
rnacentral:rRNA from 1 species